rnacentral:tRNA from 1 species
AAAUAAGAAGCAAUAAUUAUGCAUUUAAUUUCGACCUAAAAGAUGAGUUUUUUACUCCUUAUUUA